CGCGUAGGUGGAUGUAUGCGUUGUAUGUGAAAGACUCGGGCUUAACCUGAGGGUGCCAUACAAUACGGUAUAUCUAGAGUGCAGUAGAGGGUAGUGGAAUUUCCGGCGUAGCGGUGAAAUGCGUAGAGUUCGGAAGGAACAUCAGUGGCGAAGGCGUCUACCUGGUCUGACACUGACACUGAGGCGCGAAAGCGUGGGUAGCGAACA
rnacentral:rRNA from 1 species